rnacentral:rRNA from 2 species
UAACACGUGGGUAACCUGCCCUUAAGUGGGGGAUAACAUUUGGAAACAGAUGCUAAUACCGCAUAGAUCCAAGAACCGCAUGGUUCUUGGCUGAAAGAUGGCGUAAGCUAUCGCUUUUGGAUGGACCCGCGGCGUAUUAGCUAGUUGGUGAGGUAAUGGCUCACCAAGGCGAUGAUACGUAGCCGAACUGAGAGGUUGAUCGGCCACAUUGGGACUGAGACACGGCCCAAACUCCUACGGGAGGCAGCAGUAGGGAAUCUUCCACAAUGGACGCAAGUCUGAUGGAGCAACGCCGCGUGAGUGAAGAAGGCUUUCGGGUCGUAAAACUCUGUUGUUGGAGAAGAAUGGUCGGCAGAGUAACUGUUGUCGGCGUGACGGUAUCCAACCAGAAAGCCACGGCUAACUACGUGCCAGCAGCCGCGGUAAUACGUAGGUGGCAAGCGUUAUCCGGAUUUAUUGGGCGUAAAGCGAGCGCAGGCGGUUUUUUAAGUCUGAUGUGAAAGCCCUCGGCUUAACCGAGGAAGCGCAUCGGAAACUGGGAAACUUGAGUGCAGAAGAGGACAGUGGAACUCCAUGUGUAGCGGUGAAAUGCGUAGAUAUAUGGAAGAACACCAGUGGCGAAGGCGGCUGUCUGGUCUGUAACUGACGCUGAGGCUCGAAAGCAUGGGUAGCGAACAGGAUUAGAUACCCUGGUAGUCCAUGCCGUAAACGAUGAAUGCUAGGUGUUGGAGGGUUUCCGCCCUUCAGUGCCGCAGCUAACGCAUUAAGCAUUCCGCCUGGGGAGUACGACCGCAAGGUUGAAACUCAAAGGAAUUGACGGGGGCCCGCACAAGCGGUGGAGCAUGUGGUUUAAUUCGAAGCAACGCGAAGAACCUUACCAGGUCUUGACAUCUUUUGAUCACCUGAGAGAUCAGGUUUCCCCUUCGGGGGCAAAAUGACAGGUGGUGCAUGGUUGUCGUCAGCUCGUGUCGUGAGAUGUUGGGUUAAGUCCCGCAACGAGCGCAACCCUUAUGACUAGUUGCCAGCAUUUAGUUGGGCACUCUAGUAAGACUGCCGGUGACAAACCGGAGGAAGGUGGGGAUGACGUCAAAUCAUCAUGCCCCUUAUGACCUGGGCUACACACGUGCUACAAUGGAUGGUACAACGAGUUGCGAGACCGCGAGGUCAAGC